rnacentral:rRNA from 1 species
GAAGUGUGGACGCCAGUCUGCAUGGAGCCGACCUUGAAAUACCACCCUUUAAUGUUUGAUGUUCUAACGUUGACCCGUAAUCCGGGUUGCGGACAGUGUCUGGUGGGUAGUUUGACUGGGGCGGUCUCCUCCUAAAGAGUAACGGAGGAGCACGAAGGUUGGCUAAUCCUGGUCGGACAUCAGGAGGUUAGUGCAAUGGCAUAAGCCAGCUUGACUGCGAGCGUGACGGCGCGAGCAGGUGCGAAAGCAGGUCAUAGUGAUCCGGUGGUUCUGAAUGGAAGGGCCAUCGCUCAACGGAUAAAAGGUACUCCGGGGAUAACAGGCUGAUACCGCCCAAGAGUUCAUAUCGACGGCGGUGUUUGGCACCUCGAUGUCGGCUCAUCACAUCCUGGGGCUGAAGUAGGUCCCAAGGGUAUGGCUGUUCGCCAUUUAAAGUGGUACGCGAGCUGGGUUUAGAACGUCGUGAGACAGUUCGGUCCCUAUCUGCCGUGGGCGCUGGAGAACUGAGGGGGGCUGCUCCUAGUACGAGAGGACCGGAGUGGACGCAUCACUGGUGUUCGGGUUGUCAUGCCAAUGGCACUGCCCGGUAGCUAAAUGCGGAAGAGAUAAGUGCUGAAAGCAUCUAAGCACGAAACUUGCCCCGAGAUGAGUUCUCCCUGACUCCUUGAGAGUCCUGAAGGAACGUUGAAGACGACGAC